GGGGUGGAAUUGCAUAAGGUAUGCAUUUGGAUUGCAAAUCUAACGAAGUGGGUUCGAUUCCCACUCUGCCUUA
rnacentral:tRNA from 1 species